GACGCGAUAGCUAGGCUGGUUGAGCAUCUGCCCGGUAUGCGGAGGGUCACCGGUUCGACUCCGGCUCGCGUCG
rnacentral:tRNA from 1 species